rnacentral:rRNA from 1 species
CCCGCCAACGAGCGCAACCCCUCGUCGCCAGUUGUAUUUUCUGGCGAGACUGCCGAGAAAACCUACGGAGGAAGGAGGGGAGUGAUGUCAGGUCAGCAUGGCCCUUACGCCUGGGGCUACACACACGCUACAAUGGGCAGUACAACGGGCAGCCAAGCCGCGAGGCGGAGCUAAUCCCAUCAAAGCUGUCCUCAGUUCGGAUUGCAGGCUGCAACUCGCCUGCAUGAAGCCGGAGUUGCUAGUAACCGCAGGUCAGCACUACUGCGGUGAAUACGUUCCCGGGCCUU